CCCCGGGCUCAACCUGGGAACUGCAUUCGAAACUGGCAGGCUUGAGUCUUGUAGAGGGGGGUAGAAUUCCAGGUGUAGCGGUGAAAUGCGUAGAGAUCUGGAGGAAUACCGGUGGCGAAGGCGGCCCCCUGGACAAAGACUGACGCUCAGGUGCGAAAGCGUGGGGAGCAAACAGGAUUAGAUACCCUGGUAGUCCACGCCGUAAACGAUGUCUACUUGGAGGUUGUGCCCUUGAGGCGUGGCUUCCGGAGCUAACGCGUUAAGUAGACCGCCUGGGGAGUACGGCCGCAAGGUUAAAACUCAAAUGAAUUGACGGGGGCCCGCACAAGCGGUGGAGCAUGUGGUUUAAUUCGAUGCAACGCGAAGAACCUUAC
rnacentral:rRNA from 1 species